GGCUCGUUGGUCAAGGGGUAUGAUUCUCGCUUCGGGUGCGAGAGAGGUCCCGGGUCAAACCCGGAUGAGCCC
rnacentral:tRNA from 1 species